ACGAACGCUGGCGGCAUGCCUAACACAUGCAAGUCGAACGAGACCUUCGGGUCUAGUGGCGCACGGGUGCGUAACGCGUGGGAACCUGCCCUUAGGUUCGGAAUAACUCCCCGAAAGGGGUGCUAAUACCGGAUAAUGUCUUCGGACCAAAGAUUUAUCGCCUUUGGAUGGGCCCGCGUUGGAUUAGCUAGUUGGUAGGGUAAAAGCCUACCAAGGCGACGAUCCAUAGCUGGUCUGAGAGGAUGAUCAGCCACACUGGGACUGAGACACGGCCCAGACUCCUAGGGGAGGGAGGAGGGGGGAAUAUUGGAAAAUGGGCGAAAGCCUGAUCCAGCAAUGCCGGGUGGGUGAUGAAGGCCUUAGGGUUGUAAAGCUCUUUUACCCGGGAUGAUAAUGACAGUACCGGGAGAAUAAGCCCCGGCUAACCCCGU
rnacentral:rRNA from 1 species